rnacentral:rRNA from 1 species
UACAGAGGUCUCAAGCGUUGUUCGGAUUUAUUGGGCGUAAAGGGCGCGUAGGCGGCGGGGUAAGUCGGGUGUGAAAUCUCAGGGCUCAACCCUGAAACUGCACUUGAUACUGCUCUGCUUGAGGACUGGAGAGGAGACUGGAAUUCACGGUGUAGCAGUGAAAUGCGUAGAUAUCGUGAGGAAGACCAGUGGCGAAGGCGGGUCUCUGGACAGUUCCUGACGCUGAGGCACGAAGGUCAGGGGAGCAAACGGG